GAUGAACGCUGGCGGCGUGCCUAAUACAUGCAAGUCGAGCGAAGCGGGGACGGGUGAGUAACACGUGGAUAACCGCCGAUAAGACUGGGAUAACUUCGGGAAACCGGAGAAAAAACGGAUACUUAUCUAUGGAUCCGCGGUGCAUUAGCUAGUUGUUAGGGUAAUGGAUUACCAAGGCAACGAUGCAUAGCCGACCUGAGAGGGUGAUCGGCCACAUUGGAACUGAGACACGGUGCAGACUCCUACGGGAGGCAGCAGUAGGGAAUCGUCCGCAAUGGGCGAAAGCCUGACGGAGCAACGCCGCGUGAGUGAAGAAGGUCUUCGGAUCGUAAAACUCUGUUAUUAGGGAAGCGGUACCUAAUCAGAAAGCCACGGCUAACUACGUGCCAGCAGCCGCGGUAAUUC
rnacentral:rRNA from 1 species